GUGGGGAAUUUUGGACAAUGGGCGAAAGCCUGAUCCAGCCAUGCCGCGUGCAGGAUGAAGGCCUUCGGGUUGUAAACUGCUUUUGUACGGAACGAAAAGACUCCUUCUAAUAAAGGGGGUCCAUGACGGUACCGUAAGAAUAAGCACCGGCUAACUACGUGCCAGCAGCCGCGGUAAUACGUAGGGUGCAAGCGUUAAUCGGAAUUACUGGGCGUAAAGCGUGCGCAGGCGGUUAUAUAAGACAGAUGUGAAAUCCCCGGGCUCAACCUGGGAACUGCAUUUGUGACUGUAUAGCUAGAGUACGGUAGAGGGGGAUGGAAUUCCGCGUGUAGCAGUGAAAUGCGUAGAUAUGCGGAGGAACACCGAUGGCGAAGGCAAUCCCCUGGGCCUGCACUGACGCUCAUGCACGAAAGCGUGGGGAGCAAACAGGAUUAGAAACCCGGUAGUUC
rnacentral:rRNA from 1 species